GACGAACCGUGCAAACGUUGUUCGGAAUCACUGGGCUUAAAGGGCGCGUAGGCGGGCAAGCAAGUCCGGGGUGAAAUCUUUCGGCUCAACCGGAAAAGUGCCUUGGAUACUGCUUGUCUGGAGGGAGGUAGGGGCAUGUGGAACUUCUGGUGGAGCGGUGAAAUGCGUUGAUAUCAGGAGGAACGCCGGUGGCGAAAGCGACGUGCUGGACCUCUUCUGACGCUGAGGCGCGAAAGCUAGGGGAGCAAACGGG
rnacentral:rRNA from 1 species